rnacentral:rRNA from 1 species
UCUGGUCCUUGUGUGCCCGCCGCCGCGGUAAUACGGCCGGUCCGGGCGUUAUCCGGAUUUAUUGGGUUUAAAGGGAGCGCAGGCGGACCUUUAAGUCAGCUGUGAAAUACGGCGGCUCAACCGUCGAACUGCAGUUGAUACUGGAGGUCUUGAGUGCACACAGGGAUGCUGGAAUUCAUGGUGUAGCGGUGAAAUGCUCAGAUAUCAUGAAGAACUCCGAUCGCGAAGGCAGGCAUCCGGGGUGCAACUGACGCUGAGGCUCGAAAGUGCGGGUAUCAAACAGG